AAGGAUCAUUAUUGAAUGAACUUGGUGUGGUUGUUGCUGGCUCUUUUGGGGGCAUGUGCACACUCACCAUUCUCAUCUCUCCACCUGUGCACUUCUUGUAGACUUGGAUUGACUUUCCGAGGCAACUCGGUCGGGAGGAUUGCUGGCACCAGCUGGCUUUCUUUGCAUUUCCAGGUCUAUGUUUUUUCAUAUACCCCAUUGUAUGUAACAGAAUGUAACAUUGGGCACUCGUGCCUAUAAAACUUAUACAACUUUCAGCAACGGAUCUCUUGGCUCUC
rnacentral:misc_RNA from 1 species